GACGAACGCUGGCGGCGUGCCUAAUACAUGCAAGUAGAACGCAGUUGCGAACGGGUGAGUAACGCGUAGGUAACUGCCUCAUAGCGGGGGAUAACUAUUGGAAACGAUAGCUAAUACCGCAUUCUGUGAGAUGGAUCUGCGUUGUGUUAGCUAGUUGGCGGGGUAAAGGCUCACCAAGGCGACUAUACAUAGCCGGCCUGGGAGGGUGAUCGGCCAAACUGGGAAUGGGACACGGGCCAGACUCCUACGGGAGGCAGCAGGAGGGAAACUUCGGCAAUGGACGGAAGGCUGAACGAGCAACGCCGGGUGAGAGAAGAAGGUUUUCGGAUCGUAAAGCUCUGUUGUUAGAGAAGCGGUAACUAAACAGAAAGGGACGGCUAACUACGUGCCAGCCGCCGCGGUAAUAC
rnacentral:rRNA from 1 species